rnacentral:rRNA from 1 species
CUACGGGUCGCAGCAGUGAGGAAUAUUGCACAAUGGGGGAACCCUGAUGCAGCAACGCCGCGUGGAGGAUGACGCAUUUCGGUGUGUAAACUCCUUUUAUAUGUCAAGAAAAUGACGGUAGCAUAUGAAUAAGCACCGGCUAACUCCGUGCCAGCAGCCGCGGUAAUACGGGAGGGUGCAAGCGUUACUCGGAAUCACUGGGCGUAAAGGACGCGUAGGCGGGUUGGAAAGUCAGGUGUGAAAUCCUACAGCUUAACUGUAGAACUGCACUUGAAACUUCUAAUCUAGAGUAUGGAAGGGGGAGAUGGAAUUAGUGGUGUAGGGGUAAAAUCCGUAGAUAUCACUAGGAAUACCUAAAGCGAAGGCGAUCUCCUGGAACAUUGCUGACGCUAAGGCGUGAAAGCGUGGGGGGCAAACAGGAUUAGAUACCCGGGUAGUC